rnacentral:rRNA from 1 species
UACGAGGGGGGCAAGUGUUGUUCGGAAUCACUGGGCGUAAAGGGAGCGUAGGCGGGCUUCUAAGUUAGGUGUUUAAUCCCGGGGCCCAACCCCGGUCAGGCACCUAAAACUGGGAGUCUUGAAUAGUGGAGAGGUCAGUGGAAUUGGGGGUGUAGCGGUGGAAUGCGUAGAGAUCCCCAAGAACACCAGUUGCGAAGGCGGCUGACUGGACACAUAUUGACGCUGAGGCUCGAAAGCAUGGGGAGCAAACAGG